CAAACACGAACGCGCAGAACUGAGAGAGCGGGGCUCGCGCCCGGACUUGCACACACCACACAGCAACGACGACGAAAACGACGAGAGUUGGUUCUGUGGCAGUUGGGUCGGUGUGUAACACUCCCCCACCAAGAAUGCUUCGCUUAGUUCACUUAACACAUGUGUGUUGAACGUGUUUGAAGCGAAACAAAUGAAUCUACUACAUUCUACAGCUGGACACCAGAUUAAAGUUACAUUACUCCAAUCGUUGCAAUCAUCGAGUGUUUUAUGCCAUUGAAUAAGGUUAGGAUUUAACCUAACUUAUAUAUUAUAUAAUAUAAACUUUAUAAUAUAAGGAAAUGAUUAUAAUACGA